rnacentral:rRNA from 1 species
GAUGAACGCUAGCGGCAGGCCUAAUACAUGCAAGUCGAACGGUAAGGUCUCUUCGGAGAUACACGAGUGGCGCACGGGUGCGUAACGCGUAUGCAACCUACCUUUAACUGGGGGAUAGCCCCGAGAAAUCGGGAUUAAUACCCCAUAAUAUCCUUGGAUCGCAUGGUUUGAGGAUUAAAGCUCCGGCGGUUAAAGAUGGGCAUGCGUGACAUUAGCUUGUUGGUGAGGUAACGGCUCACCAAGGCAACGAUGUCUAGGGGUCCUGAGAGGGUUAUCCCCCACACUGGUACUGAGACACGGACCAGACUCCUACGGGUGGCAG